rnacentral:miRNA from 1 species
GUAAGUGCGUCUCGGGUGAGC